AACAAGGCGUACCUGCGGACCUGCGGAAGGAUCAUUACAGGACUCGCAAGACUCCUUAAACCCCUGUGAACUUACUGUUUAUACGUUGCUUCGGCGGGUGCUCCGGGGUCCGCCCCGGGGCGCUGCGCCCGCCGGCAGCCUACUUAAUUCUGUUUCUCUGCGUUGGCAUCUCGAGUAAGCAAAAUAAGUUAAAACUUUCAACAACGGAUCU
rnacentral:misc_RNA from 1 species